GACGAACGCUGGCGGCGUGCUUAACACAUGCAAGUCGAACGGAAGGGCCCUGCUUUUGUGGGGUGCUCGAGUGGCGAACGGGUGAGUAACACGUGAGUAACCUGCCCUUGACUUUGGGAUAACUUCAGGAAACUGGGGCUAAUACCGGAUAGGAGCUCCUGCUGCAUGGUGGGGGUUGGAAAGUUUCGGCGGUUGGGGAUGGACUCGCGGCUUAUCAGCUUGUUGGUGGGGUAGUGGCUUACCAAGGCUUUGACGGGUAGCCGGCCUGAGAGGGUUACCGGCCACAUUGGGACUGAGAUACGGCCCAGACUCCUACGGGAGGCAGCAGUGGAGAAUAUUGCACAAUGGGGGGAAGCCUGAUGCAGAAACGCCGCGUGCGGGAUGCCGGCCUUCGGGUUGUAAACAGCUUUCUCCUGUGCCGAAGAGAGAGUGACGGUAAUGGGUAAAGAAGCACCGGCUAACUACGUG
rnacentral:rRNA from 1 species